GUUAUUACAAUUUUUUUUUGUAUUAAUUUUUUGUUUUAGAUGAACAAAAGGCUGGACUCCUAACACAAAGCAAGGGGGAAUCCAGGGCAUGGUAAGCACUAGGAUGGAGUCAAAAGUCGAUCAAAUGAAGAAAGAUUUCACAAGUCGAUUCAAUGGGUUGGAAAAUGAGAUAGGCUCAAUCAAGGAAAUUGGGAUAAGCUCAAUCAAUGAAAAGUCGAAGGGGUUCAAACCUUGCAGGAAAAAUUAAUUGAACUCAAGCAUCUGUUGUCCAUCGUUUACUAAAAUAAUCGGCGAGAGGAUAGAGGGAAACUGCAAGUCGAACGAUCGAACGUGUAGGGGGAUAUUGGGGUGUCAAGAGAUUAGUGGAGGACAAAUGAAGAUAGUAGUGAGCCAAGAGUAGCCCACUAACGAGAGUCAAGACCGUUGUGUUAGGAGAAAGUAGUGGUUAUCGGAGUUAGAGGAACUGGAGGAAGUAACAUCCUCCCAUGCCGAAUUGAACUUGCCAUCUUUUUCGGAGAAGACCCAAUCCGUUGGAUUUUUAGGGUCGAACGAUACUCUGCGGUGAACCGAAUUGGUGAUGGUGACAGUCCAAGUCAUCACCAUUAAUAUGGAAGGGACGAUGCUAACAUGGCUUCGAUAGGUUGAAUCCAAAGGACUGAUCGCAUGCUAAGAGGAGUUCAAGAGAGCAUUGACGGAGAGAUUCCGGUUGAUUCAAGAUGGGACGUCGUAUGAGGAGCUUCUUUUACUCCGACAGUAAGGAAUUGUCGCCGACCAUCAGAGCUAGUUUGAGAAGCUAUCAAGUCCGCUUCCUGAUCUCUCUAAGGAGUUGUUAAAACUCUUCAAGUACUAAUCGUCAACAGGGAUGAGGAUGACAAGGAAAUGUCGAUGGAAGGAGAGGUGGCAAUUUCGAAAGCUCCACCGGCAAAACCAUGGUGGAAGACACAACGAUUGAAUUGGCAACCCAUUUGAUUGUUGGAAUCAGUCCCUACCGAACAUUCAAGGUAGUGGGAAAAAUAUCUGGCCAUAAGGUACUCAUUCUCAUUGACUAUGAUACCAACCAUAACUUUAUUUCAACUGAAUUGGCUAGGAAGUUUAAUUUACCUAUACUGCCAACAAAAAAAUUAGGGUGAUGGUGGGCGAGGGUUAUCAAAUUAAGGAAGCUAGCGUUUGUAAGAACAUUAAAUUAACUAUUCAAUGGGUGAAAAUUAUUCAGGACUUAUUGCCAGUUAAGUUAGGAAAUGUGGACGUUAUUUUGGGUAUAAAAUGGUUAUCAGGUCUUGGAGAAAUAAAAACAAAUUGAAAAUUGUUAACGCUAAAAUUUAAAAAGGAGGGCAAAUGGGUGAGGAUACAUGGAAACCCGACAUUAACCACAUUAGAAAUCUCAUUAAAAACUUUAAUAAGUACAGUUCAAAACGAAGGGAUGGGAUGCUAGAUUGAAUUGUGUUGGGCCAAGGAAAAACAAAAGCUUCUACAGACCAAAUUAACUAAACAGAUUAGCAGUUUGCUUCAAGAGUUUCCCAAUUAUUUGGAGUUUCCAUGUAUCCUCACAGUGGCCCAACGACUAUGCCAUCAGGCUGAUUGAAGGAAACAACCCCCGAACAUCCGGCCAUACCACUACCCUCACUACUAGAAAAACGAGGUGGAGAAACUAGUACAAGAGAUGCUGAAAUUUUGGGAUAAUCAUACCGUGCACAAGCCCAUACUCAAGCCCCAUUCAGCUACAUUUCGUCAAUACUCUUUAUUCUCUCAUUAAUUUCAAUGCUGCAAACUAGUGCCAUGUUGAAUUACCAAGUUUAACUUUACUGUUUUCAGAAACUCUUUGAAAAAUUUGGCCCAUCAUAUAUCUUGAAAGGUGAUCAUAAAUCACAGGAGGGUUUAAUCAGUUUCAUUAGCUGUAAAAUGCUCUCCAGACUUCAUAUUUAAACCCAGGAAUGGAACUCAAAAUAUAGUGCUUUCAAAUAUCUUGGUGGCUGAAUAUGGAGAAAAUUUUCCUUCAACCAAGUCUUAAACCCACGUGAAAAUGUAUUGUCUAGAUUAACCAUCUCUACACAACAGAUUACUCCAGUUAUUGAAUUAGUGAACCACUAUUGUUGAAUGAGUAAUGCAGAAUUUAUUUAUGUAUAUUUAAAAAAUAAAAUUGUACUUUAUUGUUCCAGUUAAGAAAGAUAGGCUGUGAAAGAAGCAUAUGACUGCAACCUGUCAGGGUAAUUAUAUGUUACAAUCAUCACUCUCUAUUCUUGCAUCAUGAGUUGAACUAAAAGUUCCUUUUAGUUGAUAACUGUGUCAACCGCUUCAACUGCAGAUUGUUAUGUGUAUGCUCUCAAGUCAAUCCUGUUCUGUUGUCCUCCUGGGUGUUAUCAUAUAAAAUAACUUGGUAUGCUGGCAUCUUUGAAAUUUUCAGAGGCCUUUGAUUUUCUUUUCUCUUUUAUAAUUUACAAUUUUUUUAAUCUUCUUCAGCAGCAGUUCCCUCUGUUUCGAAAUGCUUAUUUGAUCUUAUGGACAGUUUCAUUUGUCAUUUUCUGAUGGAUCAUCCAUGCUUGUGCUUACCUUUGGUUGCUGGUUGAGCAGGCUUCCUGCAACAGGGUUGUCGCAUAUCCUACGCUAUGGCGUCUCUGCUGCAUUUAUUAAGCUCAAGCACUCUGUGUUGUCAAAAUAUUUCCCAGACUCUUAUUGGUGCUGACAUGAGAAGACAUUGAACUCUGCCAGUUGCCACAUUGUCUGAACAGUUGCUUUUGUUAGAUUAAAGCAGGCCUCUUCUUGAUGCAUUGCUGAUCAUUGUUUGGUUAUGUUGCAUGGUGAAUGUACAAACUUUUACAAUUCAUUUUCCUGUUGUAGCGUUGAUAUCUUUGUUUUUAGGUAUAUAUGUUAUCAGUCUGAAUCUUUUUGUAGAAUUAA